rnacentral:rRNA from 1 species
GACGAACGCUGGCGGCGUGCUUAACACAUGCAAGUCGAACGGAAAGGCCCUGCUUUUGUGGGGUGCUCGAGUGGCGAACGGGUGAGUAACACGUGAGUAACCUGCCCUUGACUUUGGGAUAACUUCAGGAAACUGGGGCUAAUACCGGAUAGGAGCUCCUGCUGCAUGGUGGGGGUUGGAAAGUUUCGGCGGUUGGGGAUGGACUCGCGGCUUAUCAGCUUGUUGGUGGGGUAGUGGCUUACCAAGGCUUUGACGGGUAGCCGGCCUGAGAGGGUGACCGGCCACAUUGGGACUGAGAUACGGCACAGACUCCUACGGGAGGCAGCAGUGGGGAAUAUUGCACAAUGGGCGGAAGCCUGAUGCAGCAGCGCCGCGUGCGGGAUGACGGCCUUCGGGUUGUAAACCGCUUUCGCCUGUGACGAAGCGUGAGUGACGGUAAUGGGUAAAGAAGCACCGGCUAACUACGUG